UGAAGAGUUUGAUCAUGGCUCAGAUUGAACGCUGGCGGCAGGCCUAACACAUGCAAGUCGAACGGUAACAGGAAGCAGCUUGCUGCUUCGCUGACGAGUGGCGGACGGGUGAGUAAUGUCUGGGAAACUGCCUGAUGGAGGGGGAUAACUACUGGAAACGGUGGCUAAUACCGCAUAACGUCGCAAGACCAAAGAGGGGGACCUUCGGGCCUCUUGCCAUCAGAUGUGCCCAGAUGGGAUUAGCUUGUUGGUGAGGUAACGGCUCACCAAGGCGACGAUCCCUAGCUGGUCUGAGAGGAUGACCAGCCACACUGGAACUGAGACACGGUCCAGACUCCUACGGGAGGCAGCAGUGGGGAAUAUUGCACAAUGGGCGCAAGCCUGAUGCAGCCAUGCCGCGUGUAUGAAGAAGGCCUUCGGGUUGUAAAGUACUUUCAGCGGGGAGGAAGGUGUUGUGGUUAAUAACCGCAGCAAUUGACGUUACCCGCAGAAGAAGCACCGGCUAACUCCGUGCCAGCAGCCGCGGUAAUACGGAGGGUGCAAGCGUUAAUCGGAAUUACUGGGCGUAAAGCGCACGCAGGCGGUCUGUCAAGUCGGAUGUGAAAUCCCCGGGCUCAACCUGGGAACUGCAUUCGAAACUGGCAGGCUUGAGUCUUGUAGAGGGGGGUAGAAUUCCAGGUGUAGCGGUGAAAUGCGUAGAGAUCUGGAGGAAUACCGGUGGCGAAGGCGGCCCCCUGGACAAAGACUGACGCUCAGGUGCGAAAGCGUGGGGAGCAAACAGGAUUAGAUACCCUGGUAGUCCACGCCGUAAACGAUGUCUACUUGGAGGUUGUGCCCUUGAGGCGUGGCUUCCGGAGCUAACGCGUUAAGUAGACCGCCUGGGGAGUACGGCCGCAAGGUUAAAACUCAAAUGAAUUGACGGGGGCCCGCACAAGCGGUGGAGCAUGUGGUUUAAUUCGAUGCAACGCGAAGAACCUUACCUGGUCUUGACAUCCACAGAAGAAUCCAGAGAUGGAUUUGUGCCUUCGGGAACUGUGAGACAGGUGCUGCAUGGCUGUCGUCAGCUCGUGUUGUGAAAUGUUGGGUUAAGUCCCGCAACGAGCGCAACCCUUAUCCUUUGU
rnacentral:rRNA from 1 species